GAAAAAGUUCAACGUUCUCAAAUCUAAUCCCUAUUUUGUGAAACAAUGAAACAUGAGUCAUGGGGGAGCAGCACGCUCGGAAAUACCAUGUAUAAGAAAUGAACAACAGGAAUGAUGUUGCCAUGAGAAUCUGUGAGAAGGAGUCCUGGCACCAUUCUAAAGGUUGUGAAUGAGCUAUGCUUCAAUCCCAGUGUUUAGAUGCAAGGCCAACCCCAGGUUACCCAAGAGGGGGUCUGCUCCCAGCUUGCACUUUGUGGAGUUUGUGUGCAAUUUCAAUUCCUGAUGAUGAAUAAAUGAUGGAAUUCAUCGACAGCAAAAAAAUAAAUACUUUGUUGAUUCACAGUUGGCCACUUGCAACUCCUGAGUGGAAACAGAGUGGAAUAAUAAAUAGGCCACGGUAGCACAGUCCUGUCGACAGGAGGGAAAUAAAUAAGUUUGAUGCCCCGAAAGUCAACAUCCACAAGGUGACAAAUAAACAGUGGGGCUUGUGUGCUCAGUGAAU
ensembl:lncRNA